rnacentral:rRNA from 1 species
UGGGAAUUUGGACAAUGGGCGAAGCCUGAUCCAGCAAUGCCGCGUGUGUGAAGAAGGCCUUCGGGUUGUAAAGCACUUUUGUCCGGAAAGAAAUCCUUGGCUCUAAUACAGUCGGGGGAUGACGGUACCGGAAGAAUAAGCACCGGCUAACUACGUGCCAGCAGCCGCGGUAAUACGUAGGGUGCAAGCGUUAAUCGGAAUUACUGGGCGUAAAGCGUGCGCAGGCGGUUUGCUAAGACCGAUGUGAAAUCCCCGGGCUCAACCUGGGAACUGCAUUGGUGACUGGCAGGCUAGAGUAUGGCAGAGGGGGGUAGAAUUCCACGUGUAGCAGUGAAAUGCGUAGAGAUGUGGAGGAAUACCGAUGGCGAAGGCAGCCCCCUGGGCCAAUACUGACGCUCAUGCACGAAAGCGUGGGGAGCAAACAGGAUUAGAUACCCUGGUAGUCCACGCCCUAAACGAUGUCAACUAGUUGUUGGGAUUCAUUCCUUAGUAACGUAGCUAACGCGUGAAGUUGACCGCCUGGGGAGUACGGUCGCAAGAUUAAAACUUAAAGGAAUUGACGGGGU